AAUCAACGCUGGCGGCGUGCCUAACACAUGCAAGUCGAACGCGAAAACCCCGCAAGGGGUUAGUAGAGUGGCAAACGGGUGAGUAACACGUGGGUGACCUGCCUUCGAGUGGGGGAUAACGUCCCGAAAGGGACGCUAAUACCGCAUAACAUCCUGCCUUUUAAGAGGUGGACAUCAAAGCUGGGGAUCGCAAGACCUAGCGCUUGAAGAGGGGCCCGCGCCUGAUUAGCUAGUUGGUGGGGUAAUGGCUCACCAAGGCAACGAUCAGUAUCCGGCCUGAGAGGGCGGACGGACACACUGGGACUGAGACACGGCCCAGACUCCUACGGGAGGCAGCAGUGGGGAAUUGUUCGCAAUGGGCGCAAGCCUGACGACGCAACGCCGCGUGGAGGAUGAAGA
rnacentral:rRNA from 1 species